rnacentral:rRNA from 1 species
UGAAUACGAGAUGCUACGGCAUCGAAGCAGUCUAUGUCAUACUUCCAAGAAAAGCUUGCACUGUCAUAAACAAAUAAUGCCUGCACCAUAACCGACACAGGUGGGUAGGUAGAGUAUACUAAGGGGCGCGAGAUAACUCUCUCUAAGGAACUCGGCAAAAUGACUCCGUAACUUCGGGAGAAGGAGUGCCUUAUUUUAUAAGGUUGCAAUAACAAGAUCCAAGCAACUGUUUACCAAAAACACAGGUCUCCGCUAAGUCGUAAGACGAUGUAUGGGGGCUGACGCCUGCCCAGUGCCAGAAGGUUAAAGAAGUUGGUUAGCAUUAGCGAAGCUGAUAACUGAAGCCCUGGUGAACGGCGGCCGUAACAAUAACGGUCCUAAGGUAGCGAAAUUCCUUGUCGGGUAAGUUCCGACCCGCACGAAAGGCGUAAUGAUUUGGAUACUGUCUCGGAGAGGGGCUCGGUGAAAUAGACUUGUCUGUGAAGAUGCGGACUACCUGCACCAGGACAGAAAGACCCUAUGAAGCUUUACUGUAACUUGAGAUUGAAAUUGGACUUUAUUUGCGCAGUAUAGGUGGGAGACGUUGAAAAUAUUCUUGCGGGAAUAUUGGAGUCAUCAGUGAGAUACCACUCUUAUAAUGUUAGAUUUCUAACUUUGUAUCAUUAUCUGGUCAAAGAACAGUCUCAGGCGGGCAGUUUGACUGGGGCGGUCGCCUCCCAAACGGUAACGGAGGCGCACAAAGGUUUCCUCUGAACGUGUAGAAAUCGUAUCUAGAGUGUAAAGGCAUAAGGAAGCUUGACUGUGAGACCUACAAGUCGAGCAGGGACGAAAGUCGGUCUUAGUGAUCUGACGGUGCUGAGUGGAAAGGCCGUCACUCAACGGAUAAAAGUUACUCUAGGAUAACAGGCUGAUCUCCCCCAAGAGUUCACAUCGACGGGGAGGUUUGGCACCUCGAUGUCGGCUCAUCGCAUCCUGGGGCGGUAGUACGUCCCAAGGGUUGGGCUGUUCGCCCAUGAAAGCGGUACGCGAGCUGGGUUCAGAACGUCGUGAGACAGUUCGGUCCAUAUCCGGUGUAGGCGUUAGAAUAUUGAGAGGAGCCUUCUUUAGUACGAGAGGACCGAGAAGGACAUACCUCUGGUGUACCAGUUAUCGUGCCAACGGUAAACGCUGGGUAGCUAUGUAUGGAGAGGAUAACCGCUGAAAGCAUCUAAGUGGGAAGCCCACCUCAAGAUAAGUA